CAGCUUUGGAACUUUAUGUCUUUUGUUGGUUAAGACCAACAACUUGCAUUCCUUCUGACAAUACAGCCAUGUUUUUCAGACGUGGGAUUCAGAGUUCUGGCUGGACUCGUAAAGGAUGGACUGCAGUAAAGGGACGUCUCAUUAUUCCCUUACAUUGUCAUUGAUAAAAAGCCUCUUAAACCUGAAUUCACUCAUUGAAGAAAGAGCCAACCUUAUAUUCAUAGUUGAAAUCCUAACUACAAUGUGAUAUUGGAGGUGGUGCCUUUGAAAUAAUAAUUGAUUAUGAAGCUAAAACCCACAUGAAUGGGAUCCUUAUAAGAAGAGAUGUGAAAGGCUGCUCCUUCUCCCGGCUCUCCACCACGUGAGAAUACAAGGAAGAAAGGCUAGAUGAAAACGAGGAAGUGGGUCCUCAUCAGACACUGGAUCUGCAGGCACCCUGAUCUUGGACUUCCAAAUUUCAGAA